rnacentral:rRNA from 1 species
GAUGAACGCUGGCGGCGUGCCUAAUACAUGCAAGUCGAGCGAACAGAUGAGGAGCUUGCUCCUCUGACGUUAGCGGCGGACGGGUGAGUAACACGUGGAUAACCUACCUAUAAGACUGGGAUAACUUCGGGAAACCGGAGCUAAUACCGGAUAAUAUAUUGAACCGCAUGGUUCAAUAGUGAAAGACGGUUUUGCUGUCACUUAUAGAUGGAUCCGCGCCGCAUUAGCUAGUUGGUAAGGUAACGGCUUACCAAGGCAACGAUGCGUAGCCGACCUGAGAGGGUGAUCGGCCACACUGGAACUGAGAAACGGCCCAGACUCCUACGGGAGGCAGCAGUAGGGAAUCUUCCGCAAUGGGCGAAAGCCUGACGGAGCAACGCCGCGUGAGUGAUGAAGGUCUUCGGAUCGUAAAACUCUGUUAUUAGGGAAGAACAAAUGUGUAAGUAACUAUGCACGUCUUGACGGUACCUAAUCAGAAAGCCACGGCUAACUACGUG